GAGUUUGAUCCUGGCUCAGGAUAAACGCUGGCGGCGCACAUAAGACAUGCAAGUCGAACGGACUUAACCAUUAGUUUACUAUUGGAGCGGUUAGUGGCGGACUGGUGAGUAACACGUAAGCAACCUGCCUAUCAGAGGGGAACAACAGUUAGAAAUGACUGCUAAUACCGCAUAUGCCUUGAGUAUCGCAUGGUACAAGAGGGAAAGAAGCAAUUCGCUGAUAGAUGGGCUUGCGUCUGAUUAGAUAGUUGGUGUGGUAACGGCAUACCAAGUCUACGAUCAGUAGCCGGACUGAGAGGUUGAACGGCCACAUUGGGACUGAGAUACGGCCCAGACUCCUACGGGAGGCAGCAGUGGGGAAUAUUGGGCAAUGGGGGAAACUCUGACCCAGCAACGCCGCGUGGAGGAAGAAGGUUUUCGGAUCGUAAACUCCUGUCCUUGGAGACGAGUAGAAGACGGUAUCCAAGGAGGAAGCCCCGGCUAACUACGUGCCAGCCGCCGCGGUAAUUC
rnacentral:rRNA from 1 species